rnacentral:rRNA from 1 species
CUCAGGAUGAACGCUGGCGGCGUGCCUAAUACAUGCAAGUCGAGCGAACAGACAAGGAGCUUGCUCCUUUGACGUUAGCGGCGGACGGGUGAGUAACACGUGGGUAACCUACCUAUAAGACUGGGAUAACUUCGGGAAACCGGAGCUAAUACCGGAUAAUAUUUCGAACCGCAUGGUUCGAUAGUGAAAGAUGGUUUUGCUAUCACUUAUAGAUGGACCCGCGCCGUAUUAGCUAGUUGGUAAGGUAACGGCUUACCAAGGCGACGAUACGUAGCCGACCUGAGAGGGUGAUCGGCCACACUGGAACUGAGACACGGUCCAGACUCCUACGGGAGGCAGCAGUAGGGAAUCUUCCGCAAUGGGCGAAAGCCUGACGGAGCAACGCCGCGUGAGUGAUGAAGGUCUUCGGAUCGUAAAACUCUGUUAUUAGGGAAGAACAUACGUGUAAGUAACUAUGCACGUCUUGACGGUACCUAAUCAGAAAGCCACGGCUAACUACGUGCCAGCAGCCGCGGUAAUACGUAGGUGGCAAGCGUUAUCCGGAAUUAUUGGGCGUAAAGCGCGCGUAGGCGGUUUUUUAAGUCUGAUGUGAAAGCCCACGGCUCAACCGUGGAGGGUCAUUGGAAACUGGAAAACUUGAGUGCAGAAGAGGAAAGUGGAAUUCCAUGUGUAGCGGUGAAAUGCGCAGAGAUAUGGAGGAACACCAGUGGCGAAGGCGACUUUCUGGUCUGUAACUGACGCUGAUGUGCGAAAGCGUGGGGAUCAAACAGGAUUAGAUACCCUGGUAGUCCACGCCGUAAACGAUGAGUGCUAAGUGUUAGGGGGUUUCCGCCCCUUAGUGCUGCAGCUAACGCAUUAAGCACUCCGCCUGGGGAGUACGACCGCAAGGUUGAAACUCAAAGGAAUUGACGGGGACCCGCACAAGCGGUGGAGCAUGUGGUUUAAUUCGAAGCAACGCGAAGAACCUUACCAAAUCUUGACAUCCUUUGACAACUCUAGAGAUAGAGCCUUCCCCUUCGGGGGACAAAGUGACAGGUGGUGCAUGGUUGUCGUCAGCUCGUGUCGUGAGAUGUUGGGUUAAGUCCCGCAACGAGCGCAACCCUUAAGCUUAGUUGCCAUCAUUAAGUUGGGCACUCUAAGUUGACUGCCGGUGACAAACCGGAGGAAGGUGGGGAUGACGUCAAAUCAUCAUGCCCCUUAUGAUUUGGGCUACACACGUGCUACAAUGGACAAUACAAAGGGCAGCGAAACCGCGAGGUCAAGCAAAUCCCAUAAAGUUGUUCUCAGUUCGGAUUGUAGUCUGCAACUCGACUACAUGAAGCUGGAAUCGCUAGUAAUCGUAGAUCAGCAUGCUACGGUGAAUACGUUCCCGGGUCUUGUACACACCGCCCGUCACACCACGAGAGUUUGUAACACCCGAAGCCGGUGGAGUAACCAUUUGGAGCUAGCCGUCGAAGGUGGGACAAAUGAUUGGGGUGAAGUCGUCAAAAGGGUAA